CUCUGCCUCCCAUAAUGCCUUAGGUGUUCUCAGCCAACUGUUUUGCCUCUGCCUCCCAUAAUGCCUUAGGUGUUCUGGUCUUACAGAUACACACUACAACACACAGCUUUUAUGUGGGUCUCAGGGAUCGAACUCUGGCUGUCAGACUUUCACUGCCAGCAAUCAGAAUUCUGAAUUGAAAGUCUCAGUUCCUGUCUUGUGAUGGAGAAGAAUAAAAAGUGUAUUCCAUUUACUAGAUCUGUCUCAAGCAAAGGAAACAGAGGCCAGAGUUCAGACCUCUACAGAUGAUCUCUCUGAGCUGAGCGGCAUCUGCUGUGAAGCCAGUUUCCCCUCUUUAUGCUGAGACUGAAAUCUUAGGAUACCUGGAAGUAUAGAACAAAAGUACAGACAAGAGGAGUGGUGUGUCUUUGUUAGAGAAAAAAGAAGACAGAAGGCAAGGCAGCAUGAUCAAGCCAAUGCUGACCCAGACCCAGGCCUCUCCAUAUCCUUAAAAGGAUCUUUGUGGUCUAUUAGUCCUAUCUACACUGCUUAUGAAGACCUCAGCCCUCACUCACUGUGUGUCACCAAGAUCUGCUGAAGCAAAUUCUGCAGUGUACAUCAAAUGUCACCAGAAGAUGACUCUUAUCUUUCACACCUUGAAACCUGGGAUUCCUUUCAUCUGAACUAGAAGUAGACAAAGGUGGAAAUCCAUGUUCCCAGCCUGGUAAAAUCUGUGUAUGGAAGGCACUGUGAAUGACGGAUCACAGUACUCUGCAAAGACAGGGCACUAGUGCCCUCCUUAAGCAGUAUGGAUGUUCUCAUAAGCUCAGGAAGAAGAAAAACCAGCAAAAAUGACACAAAGAAGCCACAGAGAAAACGGUAUUGAAGCAGCUGGGAAGUUGUCUUUUAAUAAUCAGGAAUCCAUGGAGAAUACCCAGACAGCUUUGCCCACAGACAAACAGCUGUGCGAAGAAGCUUCAGCGGCUCAGGUGUGACCAGUCGUUUGCAUCCAUUUUUUCUUGUGUGUUGGAAUUCUGUAAUGAAUCAUCUCUCUGCCACGGCAUGAAAGAACUCACACGCUUCCUAUUACUCUUUCUUCUCUCUCUCUGCACUUAUUCUGUGUUUUUCAUCAAAGAUGUGACAGUGAAGGUCUUUAAUGGACAUCGAUAUCAGCCUACAAUCUGCAUGUGAGUAGUAUGUGUCAGGGGGUUAUGCAAGUGUGCAUGUAUGUGUAUGUUUGUGCAAGUGUGCAUGCAUGUGUGUGUGUUUGUGCAAGUGGAGGCAAAAGGUUGACCUUGAAUGCUGUUCUUUAUGAACCACCUUCCUCCUCCUCCUCACCUCCUCCUUCUUCCUCCACACUCCUCCUCCUCCCCACUCCUCCUAUGCCUCUUUCAGAUUUAUUUAUGUUUAUAUCUCUGUGUGUAUGUUCACAGGCACAUGGCUGCCCAUGGAAAUCAGAAUAGGGCUUCAGAUCCCCAGAGCUAGAGUUAUAGGUAGUGGUAAGCUCUGUGAUAUGGGAGCUGGCAAGCAAAUUGCAGUCAUUUGGAAGAUCAACUUCUCUUAACCACCAAGCCAUCUCUUCAGGACAGUCUUUGCUUUGUUUUUUCAGAUAAGGUCUCAUAUAAACCUGGAGUGAGCUGGUCAUAGAGUCUCAGUCUUUGUCUCCUUAGCACUUAGAAUACAAAUGUGUGCCACCACACUGGCACUGGACCUUUUAAGAGAAAAUGAAGGAGGCUGGAGCAUGAGGAAACAUCAGGGAAGGUGGGAUGUUCGGAAGAACUUGGCAAGUGAAGCCAUCGUUUCCUUACCAUGACUGAGCCAGUGUGCCAUGCUUCCUUUACUUAGCUACCAAUCCUUAAGAAUGGUGACAAAGAAGGCACUCAGUCAGUGAUGUUUGCACACAGUAGGUCUUGGAUGGGUGGGAGUCAGAGACAUGUCCAUGCCUGUCUGAAUGGCCCAUUUAGCAGAAAGCAUUCUGAGGUCAUUGGAAAGAACACUGGGUUUACAUGAGAACUGGUGAAUUCAAAUAAUGAAACAACAACAACAACAACAAUAGUGUUGAUUAUAUGAACUGUUUGCGAGGACCACACAAUGCCAGGAACAUUUUAUGGCAGAGAAAGUGUGACUGUAAAGGUGCUCACUAUAGUUAUCAGGACUAAGUGUCCAAGAUCUGACACUUAGAUCUGCUCCAAGCCCUGAACAAACCCAGUUCCUGAAACCAUCUUUCUUAGUCAACUUAUAAAGAUCCAUCAUCAGUCAAAUAGCAUGAAUGUAAAUGUAUGUAAAUAAAAUUAUUUUUAACAUAAA